rnacentral:rRNA from 1 species
CCUACGGGAGGCAGCAGUGGGGAAUAUUGGACAAUGGGGGCAACCCUGAUCCAGUAAUACCGCGUGUGUGAAGAAGGCCUGAGGGUUGUAAAGCACUUUCAAUUGUGAAGAAAAGUUAGCGGUUAAUAACCGUUAGCCUUGACGUUAACUUUAGAAGAAGCACCGGCUAACUCCGUGCCAGCAGCCGCGGUAAUACGGAGGGUGCAAGCGUUAAUCGGAAUUACUGGGCGUAAAGCGUGCGUAGGCGGUUUAUUAAGUCAGAUGUGAAAGCCCCGGGCUUAACCUGGGAACUGCAUUUGAAACUGGUCAACUAGAGUAUGGUAGAGGAAAGUGGAAUUUCUGGUGUAGCGGUGAAAUGCGUAGAUAUCAGAAGGAACAUCAAUGGCGAAGGCAGCUUUCUGGACCAAUACUGACGCUGAGGUACGAAAGCGUGGGUAGCAAACAGGAUUAGAUACCCUGGUAGUCCACGCCGUAAACGAUGAUAACUAGCCGUUGGGGGGAUUUACCCUUUAGUGGCGAAGCUAACGCGUUAAGUUAUCCGCCUGGGGAGUACGGCCGCAAGGUUAAAACUCAAAGGAAUUGACGG